UACGUAGGGAGCAAGCGUUGUUCGGAUUUACUGGGCGUAAAGGGCGCGUAGGCGGCAAUUCAAGUCAGCUGUGAAAUCUCCGGGCUUAACUCGGAACGGUCAGCUGAUACUGCUUUGCUAGAGUGCGGAAGGGGCAAUCGGAAUUCUCGGUGUAGUGGUGAUAUGCGUAGAUAUCGGGAGGAACACCUGUGGCGAAGGCGGCUUUCUGGGCCUUACCUGACGCUGAGACGCGAAAGCGUGGGGAGCGAACCGG
rnacentral:rRNA from 1 species